GGGAUAUCUGUGGGACUGAGGCAGGAGCAGGAGUAGCAGCCGGAGCACCUAAAUGAAGCGUUCCAAUGAGUGACAAGGAGUACCUGAAUAGGCUCUUCCUCUUCACACUGGCCUGAUACAAGAAGAUCUCCAUAUU